UAUGCACAAAUUAGUUCGAAAAUUAUUAGUGAAUUUCCGGGCGUGACACCGGUCUGACCGGCCGGCAGGUGGGCCCAGGACUUUUGUCCUUUUUCUUCUCCCUUCUUCCCCUACCCGACCUAAUCUCCUCCCAUUCAACCAUCUUCUUCCCCAACUCGAAAAAAACUCAUCUCUCCUCUCCCAAACCCUAGCCACCUCCCUCCAUCAAAUCCAUUCGGUUUGACCGCGGAUUUCUCUCCGGUUACACCGUGAAGCACGAGGUGUUCUUCGAUUUGCACCAAUAGAGGGUAGUUUCUUGGUUUGAUUCAACUCCUCCAACCGUGAUGCCUCCCCGCACUCGCCAUGAUCGUCGUGCACCCACUCCGAAUCCCGUGAGUGAGCCUGAGGAAUCGAGCGGAGAUGAGUACGCUCAAAGUGAUGAAGAGGUUGAGGCCAAUGUUGAGGGGGAUAGUGAGGAGGAAAGUGGAGAUGAUGUCAGUAGAAGUGGAGAGGAUGAGGAUGAAGGAAGUGAUGAUAUAUGCACAUUGAUCCCUCCAUCCAGUUUGUUGUGAACAUGAGGAAUCCAUCACAAUAUACCAUCUUGAGGCACCAUGAUCAGUUUUUGAGGCCUCGGGACACCCCGGAUCCCCGUUUUCACACCGCUUUCCAGAAGAGUGUGUAUGAGCAAGUUUAUGCAGGGAAAGCUUUUGCAGAGCAUAAGGGGAUUUCUUGGAGAGACAUCAAUGUCCAGAGUUUGAGGGGUUGCAGGAUCUCUUCAAGACUGUUAGCAUUGAUCGGAUUGUUACUCUCAAGCAAGACUACAAUGAAGAUUUGAUCCGGCAGUUUUAUGCUACAGUGUGGGUGGCUGGAGACAAUAGUGAGAUGAAGUGGAUGUCCGACACCCUCCAGUGUUCUAUCUCUAGGAGGCAAUUCCGGCGGCUCCUCAAUAUUCGCUUGAACUUUGAAGAUGACUUGCAUGAGGAGCACACUCACAAUCCGCUCUCCAUAGACUACCUCUCUCAGUUUUAUGAAGAUGGAGUGCGGUACACACAUGGGAAGGUUGCCGGCUUGAGGACCAUCCCCAGUGUGGUUAACAGGAUUGUGAGAGCUACCAUCCUCCCUCGCCUUGGCAACAAUGAUGACAUUAUGGGGGCGGAUUGGCACGUCAUCGAUGCCAUCAUUCAGGGCCGUCAGUUCGACAUUGUGUCUCUUAUGAUGCAAGAGAUUGCCAUCUCCAAGGGGACCUUCACUUAGGGAAUCUAUUAUGCCCCUUACAUCAUGAGGUUGAUUCAAGACAAGCUUGGGGCUGCUGGGCAAAAUUUGAAGAAGCACAAGCAGUACAAGCCCCGCCUUUAGCUUGGAGCUCCCCGUGCUCCUAGGGCGGCGCCCUCCUCUCAUCCUGGAGCUAGCUCAAGCUCAGCACCUCCUCCUCCUCCUGGGUAUUAUCCAAAUGCUUUCAUCCUUCCACUUCAUCUUUUUACCGGGAGUAAAAAGAUACCAACCGGGACUAAAGAUCAUAAAAUGCUAUGGGCUUUUCAACCGGGGCUAAAUAUGAUUUUUAGUCCCGGUUUUUUUAAUGAACCGGAACUAUUGUGAAUUUUGGCCGACCAGACAAAGAUGGUUUCUCCAGUAGUGAAAGACAGAUAGCGUAUGGAGACAGUCGAUGGACAGAGCAAUAUAUUGUGCUAGCGGCCGAAGUGGACGGGGACGGUGAGAUGAGUGGAGGCUGCGCCGGCUGUUAGAGCGGACGCAACAGGUGUAUGACGGCGGACCGGAGGCGGCGUUGGCUAGCGACGCGGAAGCCCUUUCCUACGGGAGCAGCGUCUCGUCCCACGUGCGAAGACAAGAUUGGAAUUGGAGGCGCCUCGCCCAGGGUUUCCCAAACCACCAGGGCCAGAGUUACCAUGGUAACCGCGCCGUGGCAAACCGUACGAAAACUGUAUAAAAUUUAUCAAAAUUUUAAAUUAUUUUUAAAAUUUAUUUGAAUUUAA